GGUGUUGGCGGCCAUCGUUGUUUAGCUUGGCAGUCAGUGACUGGUGAUGUCUUUCAGCUUCCCAAAGUCUUCGCACCAGCCAGCAAGUCAGCACUGAUUUCGCACAAACAGGAAACUAAUGUAUAGCGAGAGCCGGAAAUUUGACAGUGAAAACACACGCGAAUUUCAUUUCAACACUUACCCGUCAACACCAGACAAGGUCCCAGUUUCAUGACGACCGAGUACGCCCACAAAUGGGCCUGAAAUUGACAAUGGAAUACGUUAUCUUUUAAUGAAAAGGUCAGCGAGCAUCGAAGAAUGCAUUGAGCUCGCACGCUACAAUUUUUUACCGAUUCUCUAACACGUCGUUAUUCGAGAAAGACCUGUUGUUCUGUUAUGAAUCAAUACGCAGAUAUACUCUCUUGCACACAUUUAA